GCCUCGUUAGCGUAGUUGGAUUAUCGCAUCUGUCUAAUAUGCAUGAUGCUCGGAAUUGAUCCGAAUUGUCUUACAACAGAAGGUCACUGGUUCGAGCCCAGUACGGGGCA
rnacentral:tRNA from 1 species